rnacentral:rRNA from 1 species
UACGGAGGGUGCAAGCGUUAUCCGGAUUCACUGGGUUUAAAGGGUGCGUAGGUGGGCAAGUAAGUCAGUGGUGAAAUCUCCGGGCUUAACCCGGAAACUGCCAUUGAUACUAUUUGUCUUGAAUACUGUGGAGGUCAGCGGAAUAUGUCAUGUAGCGGUGAAAUGCUUAGAUAUGACAUAGAACACCAAUUGCGAAGGCAGCUGGCUACACAAAUAUUGACACUGAGGCACGAAAGCGUGGGGAUAAAACAGG